AAGCUUGAUCAAACGGUUUGAAACUCAGCGGAAGUGUAUGUAAAUACACCAAAACCUAAAACGAGUCCUCAUUAAUGUUUAGAAUACAUUGUAAUAAUACAGAUUUUGUAUAACCAAAAAUGAUAAAUGAUGUGUUUGUGGUCCGACUACCCAACCCAUUUCAGCUCACACUAAUGAUUACCUGUGUUGACGCAUUGCCACCUCCACUAUAAAGUUUACAUAAUUUAUGUAUGAAUAGAGGCGUUCACACCUUAUUUUCAAAUUGUGAAACCAUCCAAGCCGUUUAUCAUGUCUAGCAACUGCAACAUCGUGUCCAGUAGCAUAUGCAACAAUGGCACAACAACGAGCAAAGGUAGUCAUCCACUUUUUACAAGGAAUGUGGUUCAAUAUUACGCACCGGCUAGCUGAACAGGUCGAUAGGGUGCGCACCAGCUAGCUGGGGAGUUUGAUUGGCUUUUACCCUAUGUUCAGGAACCGCUUGAUCAUAUCCUGUUCAAGAUGGGUCUUUCUAAAAUCAAGAUUCAAGAGCUGAUCUCCAACUAAGAGAAUCAUCAAUGCAUUAAAAGAUUCGAGGGUCUUGCGUUUUCUAGAGCAUGGCGACUCCCAAUUGAAACAUCGGAUAUCCAUUCUCAACUGAAACAGGUGUGGAGAUUACUUCUAGCUGCUAUGAAGUUUUCAUUUGCUAAUGGCAUUGAAUUGCACGUGUUUUGUGAGCUGGAUAAGUAUUGU